GAUUAACGCUGGCGGCGUGCAUAACACAUGCAAGUCGAACGAUGAAACUUUAAUGACCCCUUCCGGGAGAAUUAAAGCGGAUUAGUGGCGAACGGGUGAGUAACUCGUGAGUAACCUGCCUUACACAAGGGGAUAGCCUUUUGAAACGAAGAAUAAUACUCUAUAAAACCAUAAAAGCACAUGCAACGAUGGUCAAAGUGAUAGUGGUGUAAGAUGGACUUGCGUCUGAUUAGCUAGUUGGUGAGAUAAAAGCCCACCAAGGCAACGAUCAGUAGCCGGCUUGAGAGCGCGUACGGCCACACUGGGACUGGGACACGGCCCAGACUCCUACGAGUGGGAGCAGUGGGGAAUUUUGCACGAUGGGGGAGACCCUGAGGCAGCGACGCCGCGUGAUUUAGAAAGCAUUCGGGUUGUAAAGAUCUUUUGUAUAGGAAGAAAAUGACGGUACUAUACGAAUAAGGUCCGGCUAAUUACGUG
rnacentral:rRNA from 1 species